GCCAGGAUGGUCUAAUCGGUUAAGGCGUCGCCCCGGUCAGGCGAAGGUUGCGGGUUCAAUCCCCGCUGCUGGCC
rfam:Ixodes scapularis strain Wikel colony gcontig_1107729035506, whole genome shotgun sequence.